rnacentral:lncRNA from 1 species
GCAGCAGCGAUCGCAAGAGCAGCAGUAGCAAGCGCAGGAGGAUACCAACAACAACAAUAGCCACCUCAAUGAUUAUAAUAGCACAGACACAGUCAGAGAGGGAGAGAGUAUUAGCCUGAGAUGGAGGAGGCGCAUCGCUCUGGGGUCCGUUUAAGGCCGGGUUGCUACAAGGAGAUAACGGCGGGGGAUUUGGACAUGGGCGCUUGGAUUCGAUUCCCUGCUCUCUCUCUCUCUCUCUCUCUCUCUGUGCUUCCUGCUUCCCUCUUCCUCAGAACACGCUAAUAUAUCUAUUGUGCAACGGGGAGAGGUUCGAGGAUAAUGGACCCGCAGUCUGAUGCCUGGUUUACUUGGG